CGACCCUCGUCCUACGUGGCACCUUCUUUAGGUUUUUUUUUUUUUUUUUUUUAAAAAAAAGAAAAAUCCAAAAGAAAAUCCAUGAAUGACUUUUCCCUUUCUCCCCAUUUCAGAAAAGCCAUCUUCCUCAAAAUUUCAAAAUCCCCAAACUUCAUCCCUCCAUCUCCACCGUCCCCCUCCCCACCCACCGCCGACCGCUGCCGCUCACGACCACGCCGCACGCCGCACAAGCCGACCGUUUCACCUUCCCCCUCCCCCACCGAUAGCGUUUCAGCUUCCCCCUCCCCCACCGACAGCAUUUCAGCUUCUCUCCACCAUGAGCACCGCCGAUCGCCACCCACCGCCUACCAGGAACUCCAACGCAUACCCAGUCAGUCUCUCUCUCUGACUUAUCCAUGGAUUUUCUUGAUUUCUUGCUAUGGAUUAGGGUAUUGUGCAGUAUGAAUCAUGAGGAUCUGAAGCAGCUUAUUUAGAGAAGGCAUAAGUGGGUGUAUUAUAUUAUUUGCUUUGAAUUUGUUAGAUGCUCAAAAGCAGGCUAGGGGUGCCAACAUUUAAUGUCUAUUGAACUACUAGCUUUGGAGUUCAUAGACACUCCUUUUAUGUGCAAAUGCUGUAGUGGCUUAUGAUAUUUAUAAUCAGCUUGCAAUUGCUUUUUCCA